CACACACACACACACACACUCAACAACAACAGCUAAACGUGUAGAACACAGAUGGAGCUAUGUACGUAAAGCAGGUGUUUUCAACCCCAUAUUCUCCACCGGCAUCUGAACAUGGAGGCCUGAGAGGAAGUGUGAACUGAAGUGACUCUGAAGGGAGGACAGAGACACACGUCCUGUGUUUUGCUGCCUCUGUUUAGUCAGAGCGAGGGGCCUGACCUGCUCCUGUGCGGGGAAACUAAUGGCUUUCUUCUGCAGCCCUCACUGCCAUAAAGAUUAACCCGUUUCUUCAACGGUCGCUGGGUUCCUGGAACGCCAGGCGACUCGGGGCAAACCUGUUCAGUCGCUCAGCUGCAGAGGAAUCAGUCUCAAAACAACAAAGAAGUGGAAAAGCGUGUCGAUGUCCCGAACAACGAGGGAUAAAACGCAGACACAGCAGGGCCGCCGCCCAGUCACCUCAGACAGACACUUGAACCAGCACCAAGCCAGGAUCAAGAAGAUCCUCCUUCUAUUACCGUGUCCGGCCUAUAAAUAGAAACACAAAAAGGUCUUACCAGGGCAGGCCACUGUAUGUGUUUGGCCUUGGUUCCCUGAAGCAGUCCUCCUGCUCCUCCUCCUGCUCCCUCCUUCCUCUUGGCCCAGACCAGCUGGUGCUCCAAAAGAAACAGCUGGAAAUCCUCAUAGACCUUCACCCACUCUCUCUUCUCCCACUCCUCGUCGUCGAACUCCACAUAUACCUGCGCACGGCACAGAGAGGAAACGGCGGAAAGAGAGAGAGAGAGCAAGCGAGAGGGGAUCAACGGGUGCAUCUCUCCUCAGUCAGCCUCCCGCCCUCCCCCUCUCCCAUGAUGCACUACCGCAGUCGACUGAGCGAUUGCUCCCUGCCAGCAGGCACGGAGGCGGCUACCUGAGUGGGUCCUCCCUUUGUGUGCCGUUGCUGCAGUCUGUUUGGGCAGUCAUUCCAGGACACUGGACCCUCAGCGGGUCGAGUCACAUGCUCCACCAGCCUCUAUCCGGCCGCUCCUCUAACUCACUGCAGACCGCUAUCUGUCACUCAGCAACACCAACAUCUGUCCACUCGUCACCUUAACUAGCAGCUCACUCAGUCAGCGUCACCUCAUUUAGGAACACGCCUGUUGUCAUCAUCCAUUCACUCUAUUUUUUUCAAGAAAUGUAGGAGUUGAUGGACAGUUUUGGACUGUUGGGUGGAGAAAACGGACAAAAUAAUCAGAUUAUUUUGAUCGACCCUGUACUCUACCGAUUAUUCCAUGGAUUAAUCAGGUAAAUAACACUUUUGCUUUAUUGAGGAGAAAGAGGAAAUAUACAAUCAUUUGUUUACCUUUUAGAAAAAUCCACAUUUUUAUUGCUUAGUAAUAUUAUAAGUGCCAGAUUACAUUCUGGGCUUUCAAAGCUCCAGACACUUUUUUAAACUAGUGUCCUGAAAAAAUAUUUUUAAGUUGGUGUAAACUGCUGUUAUCCUUUUAUUUAGUUAUUGUCAUCCAUAGAGGUUAAUUGCAUUAAAACACACAGAUUGGAAAAUAAAUGAUUGCAUUUUUUAUUAAAUAUUUUCUUCAAUAGAAAGACAUUUGGCAUUUGUAGUUUUGAUAUAAUCUGCUCAGAGCCAGUAUUAGGAAGCUAAACAGGUCAUAAAUCCUUCACUAAUAUCUAUUGUUGUUCCUUCAAACUGGAUUUAUUCAAGUUUCUCACCAAAAACUACAUUUUACAUGACUAGAUUUGAACAUAGCUAACGGCUAACGCUAACUAGCGCCGCUGGAGAAAUCGUUUCGCGCCCAAAAACAUAAUCACAUCUUUAAAGAAAAACUAAACAGGACCACCUCAGCACUGUUACAGUUGAUUAUUUUCCUUCCAAUCAACUAUCCGAUAUAUAAUAUAAUUCUUUCAACACCACAUGUCUUUACAAGAAUGAUCAGAAACAUUAGUUAAUAAAAUAUGAGGACCGUCUGUAAUCAUUGUUGAUUAUAAUUGAAAAAAAUAAUAAAGCUUGUCACACAUAAACAAUGA